GUUUUUUCCCCCGACAGCGAACCAUUCCUUCAGCAAGUACUGGUCAUGUUGGUAGUCUCAAUCCUAGAACAGUGCCUGAUAUACAAUAAUCACUCAAUACAUGUUUGUUGAAUUCAUGACCCAAAUAUUCUAGGGUAUUGCCAAUCUGGAGGCAAGAAGUUGAAAUCUAGAGCCAGUUCUAUUUUUUUAAAUUAAAAACAAGCUGCCAUGAGGGCUUUACAGCUUUUGGAAUUGAAAACAUUCAUUCCCUAAACCUAGCCAUUGAAGUUCUAGACAUUUAUUCCAUAGAAAUAACUGGACAAGUACAUAAGAGGCAAUUGGAGCCUGGUAAUACCAGAUAUUCUCAUUUUUCAAGAGAAGUCUGAUAGCAGACAUAAAAGUGAAAUACCAGGAUUUAAAAAAUCUUGGCAACUAAUUUGAAAAAUAGUUAAAAUUAGGGAGCCUAAACAGAAUGGCUGUGGGCCAGAUUUGGCCUGCAUGCCACUAGUUUAUAACUUCUCCUUUUAUCCUCUGCAGACACAGAUCCAGAGAAGCGAGGCCACUUUCUAGGGCCUUAGUGACAGAGCAGAACAGGAACAGGGACCAGCGAUUAUCUGGCCAUCACCUCAGGCUGCCUGCCUCAACACCCAGGGACCUGACUUCAAUAGUGCUGUCAAGACAUCAGAAAGACUCAUCACCCAAGGCCAGCGUCAUCACUGAGCAACAGCCACUUACAUACACAAAAGGCAGCUCUGCCAUCUACUAGCUGUGUGACCUUGGACAGGUGUGGUAACCUUUCUGAGCCCCAGUUUCACCAUCUCCAACAUGAAGGGUUUCACCAUGUUGCCCAGGCUGGCCUCAAACUUCGGGACUCAAGCGAUCCUCUCAUCUAGGCCUCCCAAAGUGCUGAGAUUACAGAUGUGAACGACCGUGCCUGGUUCAUCUGCAAGGCAAAGGAGGCCCCAGCUGUGGCUGAUAAAUAUAAGAAUGAUCCUGUCUACACCUGGGAAGUCAUGCAUUUUCAUAUAAAAUUAGAGGAAAGAUGCAUGUCAUCAACAUCUGAACCCAUUACAAGACUUCUUCAGAAUCUCAAAACUCUAUCAACCUUUCCUCGUCUCCUUUAAUUAAGCUUGCUUUCCUGAUGAAGACUGAGAUCCUUCAGAUGGCAUCUGAGGACUCUCAAGGUCUGGCUGCUCCCACCUACCCCUCUAGAUUUCCCACUUCACCACUGCUCUCCUCUGUGUUCCACAAGGGCCUCCCUUUCCAGUUUCUGGAAUUCUCUAUAGUUCCUUUAACCACAGGGACUUUUCAUGUGCUGCUGUCUUUGCUCUGGAACGUUCUUCUUCUCCCCUACCCUAAUCAUCUUGACAUUUCAGCUUGAAUAUCACUUCCUUCAGGAAAUCUCCAGCAUCCCAUUAUAUUUCAGUUUCCUUUGUUUUAUACAGACUUUCAUAGAACCAUGCUCUUUUAGGGCAGGUAUCUUAAUUUGGAACGAUACAUUCAUUAGAGGGAUUUUUUAAAAUUUGUGUGUCUGUCCCCUUACACUGUAAGUUAUGUAAGAGCAGGGACUGGCAGACACUCGAUAAAUAUUUUGAGAAGGGAAGGUGAAGGGGCAGGAGGUUGAAAGACUCCCUUGGUUUUUUUUUUUUUUUUUUGAGACGGAGUCUUGCUCUUGUCACCCAGGCUGGAGUGCAGUGGCAUGAUCUUGGCUCACUGCAAUCUCCACCUCCCAGGUUCAAGUGAUUCUCCUGCCUUAGCCUCCCACAUAGCUGGGAUUAAGAGGCGCCCACCACCAUGCCCAGCUAAUUUUUGUAUUUUUUGUAGAGACGGGGUUUCACCAUGUUGGCCAGGCCGGUCUCAAACUCUUGACCUCAGGUGAUCCACUUGCCUUGGCCUCCCAAAGUGCUGGGAUUACAGGUGUUGAGCCACCACGCCCAACCUGCCUUGGUUCUUGAAUUUCUAAUUAUAUAUCCCAGGCACGUGUGAGACCUUUCUGUUCUUGGGUUCCAUGAGAUACCCUGUUUCUUAGAAUUCUCUACCUUUUUUUUUUGCUUCAGCUAGCUCCUUUAGCUUUCUGUUAUUUGCAACCAAAAAAAUACCAGCUAAGACACAGCAAGUGAGAGACUCUGAAUAAAGU
rnacentral:lncRNA from 1 species